UGCUUUAGUCAUUAGUGGGAAAGUACCCUUUGCUUGAACAAGUUUGGUCGGUCGCGGAGAAGAGAAGUGACAGCUGUAUAGAAGGGACGCUAAAACGUAUAAAAUUCAAUGAAUUUGAAUGAAAAAAGGGAAUUGACCUGGUGGAAGGAACAAUAGGAGGGGGGGUCACUCGAAUAAAGGGGGUCGCGGAGGAGCUGGCAAUUCGCAGCCUCAUGAGAAAAAGGACGAAAUUGUAAAUCAGCAGGCUACUACAUUCAAUGAAUGCAUUGAGCAGGAAACCACUGCCCCUGCCACGUCCCAACAAGACGCAGUACCUACUACAACUGGACUCCAACAGGCUGGAACCCUGGACACAGUCGUACAGCAGGCAGCCGUUCCUCCUGUCACAACGGUUCCCACAACUGAACUCCAGCAGGCUGGAGCCCAGGAAGUACCAGCCCUUCCUCCUGCGGUGGAAAAUCUUAUGCAGGAAAACAUCGCAUUACAAGAACGGCUGGCCAGGCGGGAGGCGGAGCUCACCCUUCGUGAAAACCGCCUGGUGCAGGAGGAGAGGCUGGUGCAGCCUCAAAUAUUGGGACCAUUCCCCGGGUCAUACCCGAUGUCUACAAUGAUGCCGCCGUACCACCCCAUGGUACAGUUCGGGAUGCCGGCUCAAAUCCAGCCUCCCUACAUUCAACUUCCGUUCCAUCCAUGCCAGCAGAUUCAGCACUUCCAAGCGCCCACGAUGUGACCGGGCCCUUCGACGAGCAGUCAGAGGCGCCAACGCAGAAGAUCACAACCAGGGAGUGCAAGGAGUGCGAGGAGUGCGAGGAAACAAAAAAACCAAAAAACUGACGCGGAAGCUGGAAAUGGAGGGGGCAGGGAAGCUGGAGAGGGCGCGGUAACUGGCGGGGCCGCGGGAAAAAGACAGAUCAUGAAUGCGCCCAUCACCGUAGGCAUCGGGAGUGAUCCAGAGAGUAAAAAAUAAUCGAAGGACCAAAUGUUUGCUUUAUUAUAAUAUUACAAGUGAAUCUAAAUAUAUGUAUUUAGAAUAAUAAAUAUUGAUCAUUUAUUUUAAAA